rnacentral:rRNA from 1 species
UUUCCUACGGGAGGCUGCAGUGGGGAAUAUUGGACAAUGGGCGCAAGCCUGAUCCAGCCAUGCCGCGUGGGUGAAGAAGGCCUUAGGGUUGUAAACCCCUUUCAGCGGGGAAGAUAAUGACGGUACCCGCAGAAGAAGUCCCGGCUAACUCCGUGCCAGCAGCCGCGGUAAUACGGAGGGGACUAGCGUUGUUCGGAAUUACUGGGCGUAAAGCGCACGUAGGCGGAUUUGUAAGUCAGGGGUGAAAUCCCGGGGCUCAACCUCGGAACUGCCUUUGAUACUGCAAAUCUCGAGUCCGGAAGAGGUGAGUGGAAUUCCUAGUGUAGAGGUGAAAUUCGUAGAUAUUAGGAAGAACACCAGUGGCGAAGGCGGCUCACUGGUCCGGUACUGACGCUGAGGUGCGAAAGCGUGGGGAGCAAACAGGAUUAGAUACCCGUGUAGUCCAG